CUGUUAUUCUUCUUUGAAGGUGUGCGUUCAGGGCCUGAAUGUUUGGUUUGUGAAACCCACCCACUGCCAGUAUUACCAGUUGUAUUUCGGUUUUCAGGAUAUCACGUGUUUAUAUAUCCUUGAUUAGAAAUUGUGGUAAACAGAAUUACGUUUUGGACAUAUUUGCAUUCUUUGGAUUAUUUUUCACUCUAUGGAAUAAAUUGUCACAAUGUGAACCUGUUUAUCAUCUUUUGGCUACAUUUAACCAGCAAAUUUAUUAUGAAACAAUGAUUAAUGAAAUAGAAAAUAUUGAAAAUAAUAGAUAACGAUUAACAAUAAGUUCCCAUUAGUUAAUGUUAGUUAAUGCGUUAAGUAACAAUGAGCAAUACAUUUGUUAAAGAAUUUAUUAAAUUUAAAGAUUAGCUACAACUGUUCAUUGUUAGUUCACUUUAGCUCCAUUCAAUUAUAUGAAUGGCUACAACUUUUGAUUUUUAUAAUGUUUUAAUACAUUUUUAAAUGAACUUUGAAAAUUCAAGCUACAGCUGAAGACUCAUCUCUCCCGUCAACAUUUGACUGCAUGCUAAAAAAAUAAAUAAAAAAACUUUGAUGAAACAGCAAAUUGUAAGUUUAAAAAAGCAUCUGCUAGAUGAAUAAAUGUAAAUGUGCUUCAGAAGAUUUUUUUAUUUAUUUUUAGGUGCAUGUAGUUGACUAAUGUUAACAAAUGUACCCUUAUUAUGAAGUGUUAUUAAACAUACUAGUUAACAUAUUUUGUUAAUUAUGAACCAUGUGACAACCUGGCCUGCCUUAUUAAAAUAUACUAGUCCUAAGAAAAAAAAAAUUGUGCCUGAUUUUUUUUAAUACCUUUAUGUUAUAUAUUUGACAUUUUUAUUUGCACAUUGAUAGUUUGUAAAAUAUAUAUAUAAAAAGAUUAAUUCACUGGACAUUUGAAUGAGAUACAGUACUAAAUUGUGAGAAAUAGCCCCAGUCUCCCCCCAUUAAGGAUUCAAAGCGUUUAUUGUCAUAUACCCAGUGAGGAAAACAAGUGCAAAACUAUACACACACACACACACACACACACACAUACACAAACUAUACACUAUACAAAUUAUACACACAUACAUGCAUACAAUGUAAGAAACAUAAUAAUAAAAACUAUGCUGCAGUAGUAGGAAUAUAGACCAUGAAAAUAGAAAUAUAGACUAUGUAUAUGAUAUCUAUUUAUGCAAAUGUACAGUAUUAACUUAUGUGCAAAAAACAAUAGUGCAGUAACAUGCAAAUUGAGUGCAAUUACAUGAUAACAAUAGCAGCAGUAACAGAUGUGCAAAUUGAGGCUACAUGAGUCAUAUUAACAAAUAUACAAUGGUAGUAAUAACAGCAAUAACAUUACAAAUGUUCAAUGAGAUGAAACAAUUUGAACCGAUUGCUCUUUGAGAUAGAUAAGUCCACUAACUAGCUAACCGUUUAAGAGUCUAAUAUCUGAGAGUAAGAAGGAGUUAAUUAAUCUGGAAGUCCUGCAAUUUAAACCCCUGUACCUCCAUCCUAGGAGUGUGAACAGUCUGUGUUGGGGCUGGGUGGGGUCUUUAAUGAUGGAUGCAGCUCUUCUGUGGACUCUGCGAUGGUGCAGAGAGGGCAGUGGAGUAUUGUAUGAUUACCAUACAUACAGUACCAUGGUAUUUAAACAUCCAAAUGAAAAUAUGGUUCUGUCAUAGUAGUAGUUUUGGUACUUUAUUGUUAGUGUGGUGUCUCUCCUGUGGUUCUGGGAGCCUGUAUCUCAGUAGCAGGCCGCUUCAGUCCAUCUGUCUCAUCUGUGAGCAGCCAAUGCACACACUUGCACCCCAUCGGUGUUAUCAGCCCUUCCCACUGUAUUUAACUGGAUUUAUUAUUAACUCAUACCCAGAUUUUCAUGACGUUACAUUGAGGAGGGUGAAAAGUGAUCAGCCUUGUUUCUUCGAAACCUUCAUAUCUGAGUAAGACACAUGGAUUUCCCACAGAAAAUGAACAAAGAGCUCUUCCAGGAUGAAGAGAAAGGGUAGAGGAGGAAGAUAAGAAAGAAAGAGAACCGAAGCAAGACUAGCCCAAAGAUCCGUGUGGUACGGGCCAGAGGAGAAGGAAAGAGGAGUUCUUUAAAUCCUAAAGUGCUCCCAGACGGGGUCCCUGCAUGGGCGACCAUGAAGAAAGAAUGUCGGGUUGGAGUUAUCAGAGGAAGGGUUAAAGGUGCUGUGUACUUCAUGAACAGUCAUGCUGAAGGUAAUAUGUAGAAAGAGAGUUUGCAUGAUGGCCUUUCUCAGACUCUGAAUAUGAUGUAUGCAGAUGAACUCAGGAACCUGCAGGGAUCAGCUGUGCUAUCAUUUCUGGAAUUUGGACAGGAAAUGACUGAAUAUGGUGAAUGCUGACAAAUUCACCAAGACUAUUUCUCUGGAGUUAUUGUUUACUUAUUGUCAUUAUAUAGAUCAUUUAGUAGGGACACUAUGACAUGUCCCUACCAAUAUCCAGUGACUACUAAAUUGUUCAAGCAAUAAUUUUGAUCAAACAAUCAAAUGUCUGUUGUCUGCCGUUACAUCCCCACCAAUGCCAAAAUCAAACAUAUGCUCUUGCUGUCAGGGAUUGUGUUACUGGCAUAAUAUGGCCAAAAGUGUCCCAAGAAUCAUCGCCAACAGCAUAACACCGUCGCCGCCAGCCUUUGUCCGCCCCACAGUGCAUCCAGGUGCCAUAGCCUCUGUUGGUAAUCACCGUAUCUGGGCUCAGCCAUCGACGUGAUGCAUCAGGAAUCUUGAUUCUUCAGACCAGGCCACUUUCUUCCAACCAUCCACUGUCCAAUCUUGAUGAUCUUGGGCCCAUUUCACAUGGUGUUAGCGAUGGUGUGCAGUUAGCAUGGGGACUCACGGGUUCUUGAUCUCAAUGCAAUUUACAAAAUGUCCAAACUUUUUUUCUGAUUUAUGGUUGUAUUUAAUGAGUGUUGGCAGGUAUGAACCUUGUUUGGCUUUGAAUGUCUAGUCUAAAGAAAAUGCAAAUAAACAAAUACAAGUUUUGGGGUCUUUUUUUAAAACUCAGUUUAUUUUGACUCUUUCUUAAUCUCGAUACAUUGUUUUUGUUUAUAGAUUUACUACAGGCUAUACUUCAUAUUCUUCAAUAGUUAAAAAAUGCAUGCAAUCUACAAGAGGUUUAGUAAUUCACAUUGGUCAUAUUGAGUCAGGUGACAUAUAAAAUGUUACAUACUGUACAUGUACAUGGUUAAGCUGCAUAAACAAUGCCCCAUUCGGACAGGUUGAGUUUUGUGUCUGUCAGCUACAGAUGUAAUGAUUCUGGGAUGUAUAUGCAAAAGACACAUUAAAUUUGUUCAUCUUAACGGAUAUACAGCAUUUAUAUUAUACUGUACAUCAGGUUAGGUGUAGGGCUGGAUGAAAUAAAAAGUCUAUCAUCUCAUAUUGUGCAUUUAUUUUGUGGUGUAAUAAAAAACAUUGUUAUAUGGUAAUACUUUUUCAUCAUUUGGAUGACUGCGAUCUUUACACACCACCAUGGGGCGUGAA